GAUGAAGAACGCAGCAAAAUGCGAUAAGUAAUGUGAAUUGCAGAAUUCAGUGAAUCAUCGAAUCUUUGAACGCACAUUGCGCCCGCCAGUAUUCUGGCGGGCAUGCCUGUUCGAGCGUCAUUUCAACCCUCAAGCUCAGCUUGGUGUUGGGACUCGCGGUAACCCGCGUUCCCCAAAUCGAUUGGCGGUCACGUCGAGCUUCCAUAGCGUAGUAAUCAUACACCUCGUUACUGGUAAUCGUCGCGGCCACGCCGUAAAACCCCAACUUCUGAAUGUUGACCGCGGAUCAGGUAGGAAUACCCGCUGAACUUAAGCAUAUCAAUAAGCGGAGGA
rnacentral:misc_RNA from 1 species